UACCGCGUGUGUGAAGAAGGCCUUCGGGUUGUAAAGCACUUUAAGUUGGGAAGAAAAAACUUCAAUUAAUACUUGAAGUCUUGACGGUACCGACAGAAUAAGCACCGGCUAACUCUGUGCCAGCAGCCGCGGUAAUACAGAGGGUGCUAGCGUUAAUCGGAUUUACUGGGCGUAAAGCGUGCGUAGGCGGCUUUUUAAG
rnacentral:rRNA from 1 species